AGACUAUUUUGGCAGAAAAAUGUAAUGAUUUUAGAAGUCAUAAAUAUAUAAUUUGUUAUAUAUGUAGUAA
rnacentral:tRNA from 1 species